rnacentral:rRNA from 1 species
UACGUAGGGCGCAAGCGUUUAUCCGGAAUUAUUGGGCGUAAAGAGCUCGUAGGCGGUUUGUCGCGUCUGCUGUGAAAGACCGGGGCUCAACUCCGGUUCUGCAGUGGGUACGGGCAGACUAGAGUGAUGUAGGGGAGACUGGAAUUCCUGGUGUAGCGGUGAAAUGCGCAGAUAUCAGGAGGAACACCGAUGGCGAAGGCAGGUCUCUGGGCAUUAACUGACGCUGAGGCGCGAAAGCUAGGGGAGCGAACGGG